ensembl:lncRNA
AUGCCUCCCGCCAGCCCCCAGCCAGGGCCAGGGCAGAGGCAGCUCCUGCUCACCUCCGCCAAAAUCAAGGCCUCGACGGUCUGGGCAGUCAGCGACUCCGACUGGGCAAGAGAGCAAAGAGCCAACGUGAGCAGCUGGUCACUGGGGCUGUUCCCCAAAGCCCCGUGGUGCUGGGGGCAGAGCGGAAACCCCCGGGACACUUACGGGACCGUAGAAGCCGACGACCUUGAUGAGGAGCCGAAGGGAGGUGAGUCGGGUGACCCGGGUCUCCUGGGCUCCUCGGCUUUGCCUGGGCACAGGGCAGGGACGAAAGCAGAGCUCGGUCACAGCCRGCCCCCUCUGCUCACUCCCCCGGCACCAGCUCAGCACCUCCCUGCCACCCGGACCCUGGAGACCUUCCCGCAGCGCUGGCUGGCAGCACUGCUCUGCAACGGCCCCGCUUCUGCUGCCUCUGGGCCUCCUGCGUGUGGAAAGGGGAAGCGGCGGCUCAGGCUCCCCAUCCACGCAAGCGAGGAGCUGUGCUGCCAGCUCCAGGGCGCUGGUGUUCGUUGGCCAYCACAAGGCGAAGCAGCUGCCGCCGUGCAGCCCAGGAGCUGCCCUGCGCAGGGGUGUCCCUUUCCCCCAACUCCACGGCUGCAUUGCUGCGGGCAGCUCCCCCGGCAGCUCUGCACCGCCCGCAGCCGUGACGCCCACCGCAGGCGGGCUGAAAUCCCCAGCAUUGCUCACCUGAGGAUGGCGUUGAGCCACAGCUCCUUCACCUCCUGUGACCUGCAGUGCAAAGGAGAAGCAGCCUCAGAGCCCGCUGCUCCUCCUCCUCAGCUGGAGAGGCACAGGCCCCCAGACACAUCUCGCCCGCUUGGCACCGCUCCACACCGCCAUACACCAAGCCCCCGGGUGGUGUUCCCCCCCCGCAGCAUCCCUGGGCUGAGCAGAGCUGCAGGGAGGUGGUGGGGGCGGGUGGCUUGUGCACGCCUGGAGCUGCCUGUGGCUGUGUCUGAAAGCUCUGCUUUCUCUCCCACAGCCUGCCCUGAGCCCCAGCAAGCAUGGAGAGGCCUGAAGGUGAGCACGGUGCCCUGCACCCUCAAAUGGCCCUGCACAUGUCCCCAGCACUCACUGGAAAGUGACCACGCAGAGGUUGGGGGGCCACACGAGGAUGAGGGUGCUGGUGCAUUUCAGGCCAAAACCCUCCUCCUCUUCUUCCCGCCCGCACACCGCCUCGUCCUUCCCGCAGAGCACCCAGAGCUCGCUGAGAAGCACCCGGUGCUUCAGCAGGAAGGUGGAGACACAUCUGCCGGCAGGAAGAGCAGGGGCCACCUUGGAGGUUGUGUCCGUGGGGGCAGCCCCAGCAGUCCUCCCGGGGAGAGCCCUGUGGCGGGGACAGAGGCUGGGGGUGGCCAGCGUGAGCCUUGGGUGGAAGAAAGGGGCCUCAGUGCCAGCACACACCCAGGGCACUCCCGAAAAAUCGCUGCUGCCAAGCGAUGGCAGCAGGUGCUUUACCAGGGGCUGCAGCUCAGGACGGCCAAACAGGAGCCUGCCCCUGUGCUCUUACACCUCCCCGAAUUAAAGGGCAAGUGUGUCCYUCCACGCAGCGCAGUGCAGCGCAGGGCCACCCCUGCAGGGCGUUGCAGGUUGCUUGGAGCACAAGUGCUGGGCGGGAGCAAAGGGCACCCACGCAGCGGCUAUGCAGCGAGGACAGGAGGAAGGCCCCCUUCUGGGCGACUUCCCUGGGGCUUGUGGACACUAGCGGCUUUGACAAGCACUAUUUGGCAGCACUGGUAUUUGUUGUAG